GAUGUAAAUUGAUUAUGUCAAAUAAAGUUCUAAUAGAAAAAUGAUAAUGACAAUUUUCUAUCAUAUGUCUUGACCAAAUCACGUGCCAGCAGUCGCGGUAAUACGUGGAAGACAAGUGUUAUUCAUCUUUAAUAGGUUUAAAGGGUACCUAGACGGUAUUUUUAGCCCAAGAUAGGGUACGAGAUUACUAGAGUUUAAAUGUAGGAAGGGGAGUAUUUUUAGUGUAGAGAUGAAAUUCGAUGAUACUUAAAGGACUGAUAAAGGCGAAGGCAACCUUCUAUGUAAAAACUGACGUUGAGGGACGAAGGCUUGGGUAGCAAUAAGGAUUAGAUACCCUAGUAGUCCAUGCAGAAAAUGAUGAAUGCCAUACGCUAGACCUUGGUUUAGUGUAUAAAUGAAAGUGUAAGCAUUCCACCUCAAGAGUAAUGUGGCAACGCAGGAACUGAAAUCAUUAGACCGUUUCUGAAACCAGUAGUGAAGUAUGUUAUUUAAUUCGAUAACCCUCGAAAAACCUUACCACUGUGUCAAUUAUAUUGACAAUUUGUAUAUAAUUACAAGCGCUGCACGGCUGUCUUUAGUUAAUGUCGUGAGAUUUUGGUUCAUCCUAUCUAAUUAACGUAAACCCUAUCUUUAUUUAUUUUUUAUUAAUAAAGUAUUUGAUCAAUAUUUAGGUCAUAAUAGAAGGGAUUAAGACAAGUCAUCAUGGCCUAAAUAUUGU
rnacentral:rRNA from 1 species